UAAUUAGAAAGGUUAAUUAAUUAUUGGAAAUUAUUUUAAAAUAUUACAGUUUAAUUUUCGCGCACUAAAGCAGAUAGAGAAUAAUAGCAUUUUAGCCAAUCAAAAAGCCGGUAAAACUUGGUAGCAAAACGAAUCAGUGCGCAUCAUUGUGCGCAUGUCGUCAGUCUACAGUUGAAAAGUGUAGUGAUGGGACUCGUUUCGUAGGUAAAAAUUAUCGUUUGAUUGAAGCAUCAAAAGUGGAUGGGAUGGCGUGUAACACACGUUUUUGACGACGCACACGACAAUUGAGAGAUAAUUCGACGAUUUUCGUCUAAACAUAUGUAACUGAUUACCGAGGUUAUUUUAAGCGGGAAAAAAAUUUUCAAUAUGGACGCCAUGAUGACAAUUCACAGAGCAGAAGUAAAGUUUAAAUUUUUGCAUCGAAGAAAAAAGUAUAUAUUAUAUUGUGACUGCGUGCAAUGUGGUCAGUAGAUUCAGUGUUUGUUUCGUAAUAGUAGUAUUUUAAAUAUUUUCGAGUACAAUAGUUUUAAGUAAAUUUAAUUAUAAUAAAUGUAUACGCGAAAUUAAAGCCAGUGUUCAUUCGCCGAUUAAAGAAUACAAUAAACGUAUUAAGAGAGUAAAUGCGAACGUGUCAUGGUUGACAUGAAAAAAGUUUCCAAUUAUUUUGCAGCAAUCUUCAAAGAGCAUGUACAGAACAGCAGCGCUUCAGCCAAUCAGAAAACCAUUGAAUUUUAAUGGCGGGACAAAUCAGUCCGCAUCAUUGUGCGCAUCAUUGUGCGCAUUUCAUCAGUCUACAGUUGAAAAGUGUAGUGAUGGGAUUCGUUUCGUGGAUAAAAUUUGAUUGAAACAUCAAAAAAAGGAUGGCCUUGAAAGUGUGUGAACAGUUUUGUACAAGCAACGACAAUUGAAAGAUAAUUCGUUGAUUUUUUUGCAAACAUAAUAUGUGACUGAUUGCUGAAUUACUUUAGAGGAGAAAAAAAUUUUCAAUAUGCAUGCCAUGAUGAUAAUUUACGUUUUACGGAAGAAAAAUAAAAUUUAAAUUCUUGUAUCAAAAAAAGAGAUGUAUGUUUUAUUUUUUACAAUUUUUUUUUUGAUGUUUGUGCUGUACAACGAAUGUGAAUUUUUUGCAAACAGGCAACAAAAGAAGAAUUUAUUUAAAAAUAAGUAAAUUUUUUCGCAAAAAGAAGAUGAAUGAAACAUGUCAUGAUCAGGGGUAUAAUUUUAUGAAAAAAGAAAUGGAUCAAUCGAAGGAAGGAGUAGCAGUCACGAGAACGCAAAGACGUACGGUAAAUGACACGCGAGUGAAAUUAAAAGCAAAUGCGGUCGGGGCACGUAUAAUUACCGCAAAAACGGAAAUGACUCCGCCAUUGUUGGUUACUUACGACGAAGAUCGAUCGCCAACGCCGCUCUCUUGAGAAAGAGAGAGAGAGAGAGACGCUUUUUUCGAAUUUUAUCGCAAAGCUCGCAAGGUCAAUUCUCAACCCAACGAUUCUUCGCGAAGGAAAAAUUUUUCUCUUCCCCGUUACAUGCGUUGAUCGAUCGAAAAGAAAAAAGAAAUAAAACAGUUACGGUAUUAAGAAGGAUGGAGACGCUUGUUAAAGGCUUUUAAAUCUACUUUUAAUUCGAUUUUAUCCUUGGGACGAAAAAAUAUUUUCGAAAAAAAUUCAAAUACUUGUGAUAUUUCGAUCUAAAAAAAAAAAAGUACGAGUAUUGAAAGAUUGAACUUGAAAGAAAAUUUAAAGUUCGAUUGUAAAAUUUUCUAAUACGUCGUUUCUCGAGAGAGAAAGAGAAAUAAUUUCGGAAUUGAAGCUUACGUUAAAACGAAGAGUAAUAUUUGUUUAAAAAUAGAUGGAAAGAGAUGGAGAUUGUUAAUGGGAGUUUGGUAUUUGCGCUUUGAUGCUUUGCAAUUUUUACAAGGCCUUUCUAGUAGAAACGAUGGGAAUGGAUCGUAAUAGAAAUCCAUUGAUAAAACCCCGUCUUAUAAUUCCUGGUUGCAAAACGUUGCAAUUUUUAUUCUUGUAAAAAUAAUUCGACUUUUCCAUUUUUUCUUGUAGAGAAAAAAAAAUCGAGUAAAAUUUCCUUUACUCGGAAUAACAAAUUCUAAAAAGUAAUUAAACAAUAAUGGAAAGAAAUCUGAACAUCUUGGAAUUAUUCUACGUCCAACGGUAUUAUUCCAACGGGUUCUCUAACAUUUAAAACCAAUCUUGCCUUAAAAUCUAUAUUGCCGCGCUUUGUCGUCCAAUCUCCUUAUAUACUCGAACGAGAUACUCGAGGAACGUUAAACCUCGAGAGGAGAUUUUUCUUUCUUUUUCUUUUUUUUCUUUCCUUUAAGCGAACCCGAUUUCAGGAAAACCGAUCCGCGAUACAAAGCGACGGAAGGAAUCUCGAGGACUCGCCGUUUUAAUUAGAAUUUCGUACUUUUUCACGGAAACGAAAACGUUCAAUCUCGGAGGUAUUAAUUAUCAGAUUUUUCGCGAUAAUCUUAAUCGCUGGAAGCGAGACAAGAAGCGAGAAUAACUUCAUCCCUCUCCUUGCGAUUCUUUCUCUCGAUUCGUGCAACGAUACCGCGUUCAUAGCCUGACAAGCGAAUCGAGAAAUUCAUCCAAGUCGAGUCGGUCGAUGCUUCAUCGAGAAAUGCGUCUAAUUGUCACGUAGAGAGAAAUUACAACGAAUUCCGUGGCUGGAUAUAAUUUACGCCGCCCGAGUACACGACAUUCCGAGCCUUUAUAGCCGACGUUAUCCAUUGAAUGUCAAAUGAGAACGGGUCACUCACCCAGAAACCUUCUCCUUCGUUUUCCAUCUCUUCGUUCCAACUCUUCUAUAACACGUAACGAAUAUCAUCCAACGGAAAUAAUUAACGCCGAAUUUCGCCCGAUUUUAUAUUAAAAAAAAGAAAAAGAAACUCGAGCGACCACUUCACUGCAUCGAGGAAGAGAGAAAGGAUUUUUCCCUGUCCUCCUCGAGGUAGACAACUCGACGCUAACCCAGUUCUCUCGAAACAAGCCCGACAACACCGAUCAAUUCGACUUUGGGAUCCGACAGAUGCCGAGAGACGGAGUGGGAAAGAUGUUGGUUCGUCGCUUCGAAACUUGGGAAACUCGAACAUUUAGGGACUAUGGGAUGAAGGAUGGAAACUAUCCCGUUCCAUGUAUAUCGGGAACGGUGUUUAAAAAAAAAAAAUAAAAUAUGGAAGAUGGAAAUAUGGGAAGAAGCACCGGAUCUCGAAGAGAGAAUCCCAGCUUCGAAUUUCGAGGAAAUAGAAUAGGAAGUUUGUAAACCUUGGUAAGUUGUAGAUAAGUUGUAGUAAAGCUGGUGUCCAAAACGUAAACCUAAACCCUUCCUCUUAGCGAGAGUAACGCCGCGAUUAUUCGCAAGGUACGCAAAGAAUGGAGGAGGAGGAAAGGGCCGGUCCUCGAAGCAAAGAGAAACAAAGUUCUGCAGCCCGUUAUUUUACACCGUGGAAUUUGCUUAACUUUAUCUUACCAGGAAACUUUGAAACGAUCCCUUAUUCCCAACCGAGAGAUCACCGCUGCUAAUUUCCAAUUUUUCUCCCCUCCUCCAACUUUACCGCCUUUAUUUAUCAGCGAAUUUGAAUCAACGAAGGGUUUGCAAGCGGGUGACAACGGUUAUCGAGUUUUGAUUCAACCGAUAAGUUUUCUUCACUUUGGAAGAAGAAUUCGAAAAAGAAGAAAUCUUUUUUUUUAUCGCGAUUAAUUUCUCCUAGAUUGUCUAUAAGAGAAUUCGAGUUGAAAAGAGAGAGGGAGGAGGAAUCGUUUAAACACCUUUCUUAUUAUUUUACGAGCGAGAGACACGAUUGGAUUAAAAGCGACGCUAAAAGAAGAAAAAAGAAAAAAAUGGUAAAAAUUUGUUCUUUGGCAAAGGUAACAACGAAACGCGAUCGACGCGAGCGAAACGUAAUAUCAGAAUCGAAAUACCCGAUCUCGGUUACCAGGCUUGAAAUUCGAGAACCACCCUUAAAAUGGCUACCUGCUUUUAUUUCCGUCGAACCACGAAACGCUAUUUCACCGCGCGUCUCUUUUUUCUCUCUCUCUCUCUCUUUCCCUCAAACUUAUUCCCCCCUUUGUCCGCCUUUUUCCAGUUCCAGUUUCGAUUUAUGAUUUGUCGAAGCCUCCCCCCACGCCCGCAGACCGCCUUCUCGUGGUGGAACGCAUCUGCAUAACACGAGCGUCGUCCAACCAACGUUCGCGAUAACGAACGAUGCACGCGAUCCAAUCGAGUCCCUUUCAUCCUUAUUUUUUCCCCCAUUAUCCGAUCCCGGCUCUAAAACGUUCGUAAAAAACAGGGCGAAUCUUAAUUUUCGUUUCGCUCCUGUUCGUUAUUUUCCACUUGUUUCCGUUGAGUUGUCUUCAUAUCGAAGGAUCUUGAUUGAGAAAUAAAAGAAGAGGAAGAAACCGUGUUCGUUUAUUCUAUCGAGAAAUAUAAAGGGAAACGUUUAAAAAUAAAGUCACUGAUGGACAAGAAAUACCCAAACUUCGCUCGACUGGUUAAGGAGAUAAAGGGUGUCCCAAAAUUAACGCAAGAUUUGAAUUAAAUAUAAAAGAGAGUUUUUAGAUAUUUAUUUUUUAAGUGAAUCAUAAAUAUAUAGGAUAUAGUUAUUUAUGGAAUAACACAUCGGGCACAUAUGCACCCUUUAGUCCAAAUUUUUCAUUACCUUUCCGUACAAUUGUGGCUGAAUUUCAUUGAUGAAGCAUUUAAUUUCCUCUGGUAAUGCACGUGUGCUUGUAGGAUUGUUGACAUAAACCUUUGACUUCAUAAAUAACCCCAUAAGAAGAAAUCUAAUGGUGUUAAAUCACACGAUCUAGAAAGUCAAUUCUGAUCACUGAAACGAGAGAGUACACGAGUACAGGAAAUGUUUCGUGCAGUAAUUGAAUUGUUUCAUAUGGCACAUAGCAUCGUCUUGUUGAAACCAUGUAUUCACAUCAAUAUCAUCCAAUUUCGGAAAGAACUGUGUUAUCGUGUCGCGAUAUCGAGUUAACAGUUGCAGCUUCUUUCUCAAAAAAGUAUGGUGCCUCCUACCCAAAAUCCGCACCAAACAGAUUGUGAGUGCAUUUGUUUUUCGCUAAUCACACGUGGCUUCUCCGAACCCCAAACAAUUUUGCCGAUUAACAAAUCGAAGUGAAAAUGCGCUUAGGAUUAUUUCGUUGGAAAAAUCAGCAUCCACUUUUUCACGAUUAAUAAUCCAUUCCACGUUGUCGUAUCGUAUAACGCUCCAUUUUUACCAACCUUAAACUCUCAACUAUCAAACUGUUCUUUUUCCAGACUUGCCAAUAACUUGAUGCAAAAAUCGCGGCAAAUUCAAAUCUUGCGUUAAUUUUGGGACACCCUGUAUAAAAAAAAUCGGAGUGCAAACAUUACGCGAUAAAAUACGAGCAGUUUUCUUUUCUUCCUCCCCUCCGAUAUUCCACGUUCGCAAACAUCGUAAAAUUUGUAUAAUUUUUCCAUCGUCCUUCGAAGAAUGGAACACACUGUAUUCACAUAUUCCUGCAAGCUGUAUUUAGAGUUUCUCUAAAAUUAAACAAGAGGAUAGAAAAAUGUACAAUAUUUAUGGCAAAUAAAUUAAUAAUUCAUCGAGCAUUUAUUAUUUAUCGAAUGCACGAAUUAUUCUGCAGAUGUUCCUACUCCUCCAAGAGUUUCUUUAAAAUUAAACAAGAGAAUAGAAAAAUGUACAAUAUUUAUGGCAAAUAAAUUGAUAAUUCAUCGAGCAUUUAUUAUUUAUCGAAUGCACGAAUUAUUCUGCAGAUCUUCCUACUCCUCUAAAAUAAGUUGCAUUAAUUUUUUUAAAAUUAAACAAAAGAAUAGAAAAAUGUACAAUAUUUAUGGCAAAUAAAUUGAUAAUUCAUCGAGUAUUUAUUAAUCAAACGCACGAAUUAUUUUGCAGAUAUUCCUACAAGAUAUUCUUACAAGAUAAGUUGUAUUACAUUUAAAGUUUCUCUAAAAUAUAAUGAAGGAAUAGAAAAAUGUACAAUAUUUAUGGCAAAUAAAUUGAUAAUCCAUUGAACAUUUAUUAUUUAUCGAAUGCACGAAUUCUGCAAAUAUUCCUACAAGGUAAGUUGCAUUACAUUUAGAAAAAUGUACAAUACUUAUGGAAAAUAAAUUAAUCUAUCAAGUAUUUAUUAAUUAAAUGCACGAAUUAUUCUGCAAAUAUUCCUCCAAGGUAAGUUGCAUUACAUUUAAAAAAAUGUACAAUAUUUAUGGCAAAUAAAUUGAUAAUCCAUCGAACAUUUAUUAUUAAUCAAACGCAUGAAUUAUUCUGCAGAUAUUCCUCCAAGGUAAAUUGCACUACAUUUAAAAAAAUGUACAAUAUUUAUGGUAAAUAAAUGAAUAAUCCAUCGAACAUUAUUAAUCAAACGAAUUAUGCAGAAUUAUUAAGAUAAGUUGUAUUACAAUUUUAAAAUUAUUCUAAAAUUAAAUAAGAGAAUAGAAAAAUGUACAAUAUUUAUGGCAAAUAAAUUGAUAAUCCAUCGAGCAUUUAUUAUUAAUCAAACGCACGAAUUAUUCUGCAGAUAUUCCUACAAGGUAAAUUGCAUUACAUUUAGAAUUAUUCUAAAAUUAAAUAAGAGAAUAGAAACAUGUACAAUAUUUAUGCCAAAUAAAUUAGUAAUCCAUCAAGCAUUUAUUAUUAAUCAAACGCACGAAUUAUUCUGCAGAUGUUCUUACAAAGUAAAUUGCAUUACAUUUAGAGUUUCUCUAAAAUUAAACAAGAGAAUAAAAAAAUGUAUAGUAUAAUAAAUAAGCUAGUAAUCCAUCGAACAUUAUUAAUCAAACGAAUUAUGCAGACUCUAAUUAUAUUUAGAGUUUCUCAAAAAUUAAACAAGAGAAUAAAAAAAUGUACAGUAUAAUAAAUAAGCUAGUAAUCCAUCGAACAUUAUUAAUCAAACGAAUUAUGCAGAUAUUCGUAAAUUGGAUUACAUUUAGAAUUACAUUGGAUUACAUUUCUCUAAAAUUAAACAAGAGAAAAAUAUACAAUAUUUAUGGCAAAUAAAUUGAUAAUCCAUCAAACAUUAUUAAUCAAACGAAUUAUUCCUACAAGGUAAGUUCCAUUACCUUAAGAAUUUCUCUAAAAUUGAACAAGAGAAUAAAAAAGCAGUAUGGUAAAUAAGCUAGUAAUCCAUCGAGCAUUAUUAAUCGAACGCACGAAUUAUUCCGUAGAUUGUUCCUUCGAGAUAGGUUGCAUUACAUUUUUUUUUCUUUUUUUUUUUUUUUUUAAAUUAAACGGGGGAACGGAGAAAUGUGGAAUAUUUAUGGCAAAUAAGCUAAUAAUCCAUCGAGCAUUAUUAAUCGAACGCACGAAUUAUUGUGUAGAUUGCUCGUGGAAGGUAAGUUGGGGAGAAAAAAAAAAAAAAUAACGGGGAGAAAUUACCCUCGAUGGUUUCUCCGAGCGAGAGCAAGGCGGUGGUUGUACGCAAAAUAACACGUUGUGCGAUUCCGUGGAAAUGCGAGAGAGAGAAGAAGAGGAGAAGGGAAGAGGGGAUCGUGGUCGAUCGCGAUUGCGUGAUCUCGGCCGGAACGUUGCCCGCCGUUGGUGGGUGAUGACAGACUGUUGGCCUCGAGAAUCGAGGGGAGAAGGCCCAUGAAUCUUUGAACAUUUGGGCCAAGUUGAAGGGGGGGUCGAUGCUGAAUUAUGAAAUUUUCAUUCGAUGAACGCGUGUACGCCUGUCGAAAAUAUACAGCCCACUUUACAGCGGACAAAAUAUCCUAUCCGAUCCUUUCUUUCUUUCUUUCUUUCCUUCCGUUUUCCUUAUUUUCUUUGCGUGUAAUGGAUAAUUCAGAUAUGUAUAUGAAAGAAAUAUAUAUGUAAUAUAUAAAUUUGAAAAGAUUUUAAAUUAAUCGUUUCCGAUAGAUUAACUUUUAAAAGGGGAGGAUAAACGACAGGUUGAUGAAUCGAGAGCAAACUUUUAAAGAAAUAAGAAAGCUUGUUGAAUGAAUUUAGUAGAGGCAUUAAGGAAGGGAAAGGCUGCACUUAUUAGCGGAAGAAGAAUCACCCUUCAUCAUGGUAGUUCACGGGCUACAAAUAGCAAUACCCGGUUAAGAAUAGAUUUCUCCAUUUACAUUGAGAAACAAUCGAUAUCGUCC